rnacentral:rRNA from 1 species
UGUAAGCGUAUACCAAAGUUGUUGCAGUUAAAACGCUCGUAGUCGGAAUUUGGCAGUUCCGGAUGUGUGCACGUCGUGUGCGCACUUCGCGGGGAUUGCUUUUGUGGUCUUGCGUAGGAUGAGGCACUUUUAUCAGUGAACGUCCUCACGCAACCACUUUUUACUGUGAGAAAAUCAGAGUGCUCAAAGCAGGCAUUUGCCGUGAAUGUAUUAGCAUGGAAUAAUAGAAUAGGACUUGGUUCUAUUUUGUUGGUUUGUUGGGACUGAGUAAUGAUUAAGAGGGACAGUUGGGGGCAUUUGUAUUUCGGUGCUAGAGGUGAAGUUCUUAGAUUACCGAAAGACAAACUGCUGCGAAAGCGUCUGCCAAGGAUGUUUUCAUUGA